GAAUUUUUUAAACACCACAGCUAAGGACUUGAACAUUCAUCUGCAGGUUCUAAGCUUCCUCAAGGGACCAGGUGGUAUCCUUCUCUGAAUGUCCCUCAGCAUCUAGAGACUGGCUUGGCAUGCAGAAGAUGGAUAAUAAAUAUUGAUUAAAUGAUUCACUCAUCUUCCCAGCAAAGACUGGCAGAAGUUAAUGAGAUCUGAAAUCAGAGGCUCGGCAAGCCCAGAUUCAAGUCCCACUCUCCAACCUCCCGGCUGAGAACCUUCAGAGAGGCUGCGACUCCACCUCUCCACAACAGUUUCCUCAACCAUCAAAUACAGUUUUGACUGUGCUGGAAGUUGGUGCUGGACAAGGAAGCCUGGCGUGCUGCAAUCCAUGGGGUCGCAAAGAGUCGGACACAACUGAGCGAGUGAACUGAACUGAACUGUGCUGGGUCUUCAUUGCUAUGUGCGGCUUUCUCUAGUUGCAGGGAGCCGGGGUUACUCCUAGGUGUGAUGCUUCUUUUUCUCGUAGUGGUUUAUCUUGUGGAGGAGCACUGGCUCUAGACACUCAGGCUUCAGUAGUUGCAGCUCAUGGCCUCUAGAGGGCGGGCUCAGCAGUUGUGGUGCAUGGGCAUAGUUGCCCUGCAGCUUGUGGGAUCUUCCUGGACCAGAGACCAAACCUGUGUCCCCUGCAUUGGCAGGUGGAUUCUUAGCCACUGAACCACCAAGGAAGUCCUACAUUAUUAUAUUGAAACUUCCCAACUACCCUACAACACUGUACAAUAAGGGCAUGUGUGCAUGCGUGCGAAGUCGCUUUGGUCAUGUCUGACUCUGCAACCCUAUGGACUGUACUCUGCCAGGCUCUUUUGUCCAUGGAUUCUCCAGGCAAGAAUACUAGAGUGGGUUGCCAUGCCCUCCUCUAGGGUAUCUUCCUGACCCAGGGACUGACAGAGGCUCACAUAUGUAAGGAAUUUGAGCUAGGGCUGGAUAAAGAGGAAAGUGGAAGCGUUAGUUGCUCAGUAAUGUCCAACUCUGUGAUUAUAGCCCACCAGGCUUCUCUGGGCAUGGGAUUCUCUAGGCAAGAAUACUGGAGUGGGUUGCCAUUCCCUUCUCCAGGGGAUCUUCCUGACAGAGGGAUCAAACCCAGGUCUCCUGCAUUGCAGGCAAGUUCUUUACUAUCUGAGCCACAAGGGAAGCCCCGUGGUUAAAGGGGAAACCAGGAUCUGAACUCAGAUCUCUGUCUCCCAAUACACUGAGCUAUUAUUUUGAAUGAAGAACUCAAUGCUGGAACCAACCCCAUUGAAGGAGGGUAGGUUCUGCCAGUGAACCCAGAGUUCCAGUGCUGCAUACACUGUUGCGGGUGGGAAGAGUGUGCUCACAACUAUCAAUUGCUUUAUAAUUACCGAUGUUUAGCCCCAUUUUCCAGAUGAGGAAGCUGAGCCACAGGGGACGUUAAGAGAGGCUACACAGCUGGUAAGGGAGGCAGCCCUAUUCUAGCCAGAACCAAAAGCCCUGGAAAAGUCCCCAAAACAAAGCAAAUUUUCAUUUCAGCUGUUGGACCUCAUCCCUGGUGAAUUUUCUUAUGAAAAAUGCCUCUGAUUCCCUCUUCUCAAAGCCCUACUUAUCAAAAUUUAAAAUGCUUGAUGGAAACUUCCCAAAGGCACAGACCUCUUGUUCUGGGGCUCCCAGUGUGUUAUCUGUUCACAAAAAUCCAGAAUCAGACAGAAGUCAAGUUAGAACUGUACAUAGGAAGAGGGGGAAAAAAACCUCUGCUCUGUCAUAUUUGUACUUUUCUGUACAGUCUUUUUCAACUAUUCUAAAAUAAGCACAUAUUACUCAUCCGGUAAAGAAUCUGCCUGCAAUGCAGGAGACCCCAAUUUGAUUCCUGGAUUGGGAAGAUCCCCUGGAGAAGGGAACAACUACCCACUCCAGUAUUCUGACCUGGAGAAUUCCAUGGACUGUAUAGUACAUGGGGUCACAAGAGUUGGACAUGACUGAGCAACUUACACUUUCACAUUUUGGUAACUGGAGAGAAAAUGUUAUUUUUAAAAGGGGGGUGGGGAGCUGUCCUGGUGAUUCAGAGGUAAAGAAUCUGCCUGCCAAGGAGACAUGCGUUCGAUCCCUGGGUGGAGAAAAUCCCCUAGAGAAAGAAAUGGCAACCACUCCAGUAUUCCUGCCUGAGAAAUUCCAAGGAAGGAGGAGUCUGG